rnacentral:tRNA from 1 species
GGCGCUGUAGGGGAGACUGGAGUCCCCGUCACCCUGUCAAGGUGAAGAUCGCGGGUUCAAGUCCCGUCAGCGCCG